rnacentral:lncRNA from 1 species
CUGGUAUUGAGCAUAUGGUACUUGUCUUGCUUUGCAGAACUUUGGCUGGCUGUUUUCUUUCAGGUUCAGCUUUGCUUUGGUAGUCUUUAGCAGACCAAUUUCUUCUUCAAAAACAUCACCAUACUUUUCGAGGAUCUCUUGUAAUCGGGUUGAUGGAUUUCCUGGUGGUGUGGUUGCCAAUGUGUUGAUUGCUUUCCAAUCUAGUGUGAUCUUUCCUAGCCAGUCUCGACCAAAAAGGGCAGGCCCCUUUGUUUCGACCACAUACAAAUUUCGCUUCUGUUCACAGGAAGUAUUGUCUUGGCUUCCCCCCUCAACUCAAGUGAAUCUUUCAUGGCCGUUUCCAUGGCAACCGCAAGUUUUAGCGCUUUCUCGAACGUAAGGCUGGUUUCGACAAGUAAGCGUUUCUGAAUAGAUUCAUUGUACUGUAUAGUCCAAAACAAAUCUGUCCCUUAACGAGUCAUUUAACGCUGUACCAAACUCACAGUGUUCGGAUAACUUCUUAUUUCAGCCACAUAAGUAUUAAUAUUUUCAUCGCCUCUUUGAUCCUUUAUGAAAUCUAAAGGCCGACAAGCGUUUUGGGCACGGCACCCCUGAAAAUGGGCACCGUGCCAAAACCGCCACUUCGCUAUUUACUCGUUUACACGACAACAUUUUGUAAACACACUUUUAUGAAAGGCACCGUGCCCAUCGGAAAACGUCACCUCUACUUUCCGUUUACGACAGUAUAUUUUAAAGAAUAAAUAUGUCGGACAGAAAUCGGGAUACUGACUUUCUGUCGUAUCAGCAUCUUCUCAAUUCAAUUGAUAUUCAGUGUGUGCCCAUCGGAAAACGGCACCUCUAUUUUCCGUUUACGACGGUAUAUUUUAAAGAAUAAACGGCUAUACUAGGAACGUACUUCAAGGGCCAGUUCAUAUGGGCAAAAGUUAUCCUGGUUAGUGAAAAAACUUUUCGAAACGUUUACAAGCGAGAUCUCGCCUUGGUAUGAAAAUAAUAUGAAAAGUUUGUUUACACUGCGUUCAUAUAAUACAAAACGUUUUCCCGUGUAUGUACCGAGAUCUCGCUUGUCGAGUGAUAACGUUUUUCCCAUAUGAACACAACUCUAGUUCCCGCUUGGCAGGAUAGCUUUCUGUCGUGUCAGUACUGACUUUUCAGUUCAAUAUCAAUUCUGCUAUGUCACAGCCGGAAACUUUACCCGGUAUAAGCGGAAUAACAUUUCUCCAUGCAUGUGGACAGAACAAAAGUAUAUUUGGCUAGUCGAAAAGUUUUCUCGUCAACCGAAAUAACCUUUGCCCAUAUGAACAGGCCCUUUAAGACGAAAGGGGUUGUUUUCUCGCAUAAAUUUUGUGCCAUCUUGUAUUCACCCGCCACGAUUUCGAGAGGUAUGGACGCAUCGAACGACAGCUAUUUGCUACGACCUAGCUAGUCACUGCUCUCUUCAGCGACGAACAGUAGGAUGGAUAGGAUAGGAUAAAACUUUAUUUGACUACGCUGGCCACUUCAACCAUAGCUGCUUUCCAAGUGGGGCGUAGAUAAAUGUUACAAAAAUAUAUAAAGUGGUAUAAAAAAUUCCGAGUCAACUAGAGCAACAUUCACAUUCAGUGUUAUUUAAAUUUGUUUUUUAACCUUGUUUUUUUUAUUUUUGGCAAGUUGUAGUUUUUCCCCGCUUGCUGCCAUGUUGGAAAGAAGACAAUUUGUUUUGCGCAUGCUCAAUGUCGAACAUAUUUUUUAUUUUUUUCGAAAUUUGGGCACGGCACCCCUUGCUAGACGUGCCGAGACUACCUCGUGAGAAAGACUCGGCACGUUUAAAUUUUGCGGCACCGGUGCCGAUUAUUGUCACGUUUACACGCCAAAAGGCAGAGGUGCCGUGCCUAAAAUUUUGGGCACGGGUGCCCAUUUUUAGGGGUGCCGUGCCCAAAACACUGGUCGUGUAAACCGGCCUUAAAUCGUUCUGCGAUCAGUAAGGGUUUGGGCGACAAAUGUCCCUUGCCACUAUUUGAUCAAAUGAUUUUGUCGAAGGUUUAUCAGGAGAAGUCAGUAGUGUUCGCAAUAAACUAUACGUCUUACCUCCGAUUACUAUCAACAAUACUGGAACUCUUUUAUCAUCGGCUACAUUGUUCGCAAGGAAAUACUGUUCAACUCUUUCUAUAUAUGCAGUCCAAUCGUCGCGUGUUUCAUAAUCAAUUGAAACUGAGCC